rnacentral:lncRNA from 1 species
ACUGUAAUUAAUAGUUAUCCCAUAAGGACGCGGUGUGUCAGUGUAAGAUCAUCCCGAUGGCCGGAGGCCAGAGGUUGAUCUUACACUGACACACCAAGUCCGAAUGGGAUAACUAUUUUACAUCCCAGCUGUUUUAGAUUAGACGAAAAACCAUUUACAAUUCAUAAAAUCUAGUUUAGAACGCCACACAACCAUUAUAAUAUACUUUAUAUAUUACUAUAUGAUGUAUACCCUUUAUGACCCCCUAACACGAUGAGUAGAUAUCAAACAAUGUCAACUCGCCCCACUGGCCAAUCGGCCCACACUAUAUCGCCACUUUAUGAAAAAAUCGCCCCACUCUUGAAACCGACUCGCCCAACUUUAAAAAAGUGUAAAAUCAAAUUGAACAAUCAGUCUGACAACUCAUUUAUUUAACGAAAAUGGUUUAAACCCCACUGAGUAAAGGUCUGCCAACUCGUCCCCAUUAUAAAAAUAUCUUGCUUCCUUUAAGUAUGUUAAAUUUCUGAUAGUUCGUAUCCAGUCGUCCUGGUGAAGUAGUAUGUGUCGUGGCUUGAUAUGCUAAAGGUCUUGAGUUCGAAUCCCAGCAUAUACACUGGAUUUUUUUCUACGUGAAUUUUGAUAGAUAGUCUUCUCCAUAUAAUUAAUUAUAAGUUUUAUACUGGAUUUGACAUUCCCGCC